rnacentral:rRNA from 1 species
GACGAACGCUGGCGGCGUGCUUAACACAUGCAAGUCGAACAGUGGCGAACGGGUGAGUAACGCGUGAGUAACCUGCCCUCCACUUUGGGAUAACUCCGAGAAAUCGGGGCUAAUACUGGAUAGUGGGGGAUGGGCUCGCGGCCUAUCAGUUUGUUGGUGAGGUAGUGGUCACCAAGGCGUGACGGGUAGCCGGCCUGAGAGGGCGACCGGCCACACUGGGACUGGGACACGGCCCAGACUCCUACGGGAGGCAGCAGUGGGGAAUAUUGCACAAUGGGCGAAAGCCUGAUGCAGCGACGCCGCGUGGGGGAUGACGGCCUUCGGGUUGUAAACCUCUUUCAGCAAGGAAGCGGUACUUGCAGAAGAAGCGCCGGCUAACUACGUGCCAGCAGCCGCGGUAAUUC